GGCCAGGGCCAGUAAAGGGCUGAUGCUUUUCGGCCCAGGCUCACUUUGUUUUCUUACCAGGUUCACCGCUGGACUUCGCUCUUGGUCUUGGUUAGAGCUCAGGACAAGGACACUCAGCAUAUUACAUUAAGGACAACAGUUAGAAAUUACCUUUUAUUUAACACAUCUGAAUCACUAUUCCCUGCAAAUUGCUGGAUGGUGCACAUUCAAGGUCAGUUUGCAUUAUGCUCUGCAGCACGUGGUUUGAGUGAAUGCUUCUUUAACUUGCCUUGCAUGUUUUAUUAAGCUUCUGUAUGAUGAGUCAAGAUGAAGCAUCUACAGAUCUCAUGUCACGCUCAUGGGCAAAGGGACUGAGCCACAUGAUGUCCUGAUCCAUAGUGAUGUCCACCACUAAAGGAAGGUGAUAACCCAAACAAGGUGGAAAUCAGUAGGCCAGGAACCAGAAGGGAAGGUAACAGAUGAAUAGGGUAGGCAAAGCAAGGAUAAUGACCAAGAUUAGCUAAGGCAGGAGUUACACAGUGGUUUCUUAGAGCAACUGGAAGAGAUGGCAGCCUGUCUGCUUUAUGCUGCCCUUGGACUGUUAAAGGACUGGUGUGUUCCUCUAGACUGGAGUUUCAAGCUGUGAGGACUCCCUAGAGCAGGGGUCAGCAAACUUUUCCAGCCGGGGGCCGGUCCACUGUCCCUCAGACCUUGUGGGGGGCCAGACUAUAUUUUGAAGGGGGGGACGGACGAAUUCCUAUGCCCCACAAAUAACCCAGAGAUGCAUUUUAAAUAAAAGGACACCGAACCGCCCGCAGGCCAGAUUUAGAAGGCGAUUGGGUCGAAUCUGGCCCCCGAGCCUUAGUUAGGCAACCCAUGCCCUAGAGGAAGCCUUGGGGGUCUCCUGAUCCCUCCAAGGAGUCUGUGGUCUGGUCAUCAAGAGUCCAGUGGCAGGAGGAUCUCCUCAAGGUUCAGCACAUGAGAUGUGCCAGCAGUUUCACAGAGGAAAGGUUGGGGAGUGGCUCCAACUCCUUCUCAGGACUACUGUUGUAGAAGGAUCUGCAUCUGAGGAUUGCUGGUCUGGGGCUGCUGGAGCAAGCCCUUUAAUUGAACUCUGUGAAUUUAAAUUGCUCUCUAGCUUCUCCUGUAUUUGUUCCACCAAAGAAAAGUGGAAGAAACUGAGGAGCACUGGCCCUGCUUUGUCUUGCAUCUACUACUUUGUAUUUUCACUUUUGGAAACUACUUUUGAGAUGAUGUUCACUCUUAACAAUAUCUAGAUCAGAGGCAGACAUUGCAAUGUCCUCCACAUGUUGUUGGAUUACAACUCCCAUUAGCCCCAGCCAGAAUAGCCAAUGGUCACAGGUGAUGGAAAUUGUAGUCCAGCAUCACAUGGAGAGGCACCAUAUAGGCUUCCCUGAUUUAGAUUUAAAUUUAGCAAGGUAUGGGAAUCAUUUUACUUUACUCUUCUGAUGGUUACCUCUCAUAUUGUUCCCUAGUUCAAUUGGCAUUGAAAACUAGGCAUAACUUGCUACAGGAGGAUUCAAUUGCAUGAGGUCAUACCACGUUGCACACAUAGCUGUAAUAACUUAGAGUGCAGUACUCAAUGAUAAGAAAAUAUAUUUAGAUGCCCUUAAGUUCAUUAGAGAUUGCCAAAGGUCGCACUUUAUGUUCCACUAAUUUUAUUGAAGUUUAUUGUUAUGGCAGUGACCUGAACUCUGGCUGUGUGGCCUUUAACACAUAGUAUAUAUAUAUUCUGCAAGAAAUUCAAUUUUAAUUUUAGAUAACAUAUGGUUAAGUUAUUGCUUCAUUAAUCAAAAUCGGUUGAUCAACUGUAAGCUCAAGUAACAAAAGUAUCUAACUUGACUGAAAGCUGGCUCAAAUACUCAGCAGAAAUUUCCAUAUGAUACUGUGUAAAUUAAACGCGUAUAUGGCUCCACUAUACAAAAAGCAAGAUUUCAAACUGUUCAAUUAAUGCCUAACAAAUGGCAUAUUUUAAGCAAUAUCUGAGAGCCUCCAACUGCACCCUUCAUGUCCCUGGAGAGUAGAGAUGUUGCUUCAUUAGGCCGACAUAACCACCUGGUGUUGAAUUUCCAGUGUCUUGAGAAUUUGUAACAUCUGGUACAUACUGUGAUCUCCUUUUACGUAUGUUUCAUCUUUUAUUGUAAUUUUAUGACAAAUGGAUUAAUUAAUAUGGUGUACAUUAUUUGAGAUAUUCAGCUUAAUAUAAAGCAACAUUUAGAACACAGAUGCACCCAAAAAAUUGAAAUACCUUAAGAAAUGCUGCUAAUAUUGGUCAAUUAUUGUUAUUCUGUGGCAACUGUUGUUUGUGGUUAACUAUGGAUUAUGGCCGCCAAAAAUUGCAUGACAAUAUGUAAACAAAAAUCUUCACCUGUUUUCAGUUUUUAUAUUUUAAGAUUUCUUCUUAAACAAAAAAUAAAAUAAACUGAUCCCUUCCUGCAA